rnacentral:ncRNA from 1 species
AACCGUCUGUACUGAUCCUUUUCCGAAACUACGCGUGCCCAAAAUUAUCGCACGAUUAUGAUCUUGCAAUGCUCCUGCCACAAUUUCCGAUGCUGACGCAGAUCCACGGUUUAUCAGAACUACUAUGGGAAGCUCGGUAUUAAUACUGUCCUUUGAUGCUAGGUAUUCAUUGUUCGCCUGUUCUAUCCGACCCUCGGUGUAGACAAUCGUUCCAUCCUCUAUAAAGGAGUCAACAAUUUCAACGGCCGACUGCACUACGCCCCCG